CUGCCUCCAUCUCCUGGAGGAACACAUGGAACUCUACUUCAACCACAGCCGGCACUAUAAAGACCAUACAGAACCAAGACGGCUCCUACUCUGUGGAGAGACGGUUGGUCCUGCCUGAUAGUGGCUCUGAAGACCACCUGAUCUGUGCUGUCAUACACCCCUCCAGGACAUAGAAGCACAUUGAGACAAACCUGGCAUUUUGUGGGAAGAAGCGGUCUGGUAAUUUGGGGAUGGACAUCUCUCAUAUCCUGAAGAUUGCAGGCAUCUGCACAAUUCCCAUCCUCCUGACCAUGGCGUAUGUAGUGAGAGGAGGAUGCAAGAAACCAUCUCAGGAAUCAGAAGUGGAACUGAGUGAGCUGAGAAUACAGGAAGCUGACGUAAAACAAAGAGGCAGUAUGUGUGAGCCUCUAUGAUGAUGUGAUAUCAUUUUCAUUCAAUUGUAACAGCUGUGUAACAACUAUUUGACUGUCUUUUAAAUAAUAUAUUUUGAGGCAAAGUUCAAUGAGACAUUUAUUUCAACUGUAGCUGUUGAAUACAUCUCAGUUACUUAAAUAAAUAAAUACGUUACUCAAG
ensembl:lncRNA